rnacentral:lncRNA from 1 species
UUCAAUUCAAAUAUUUCUCAACUUUGGUUGUGACAACAACAUUAAGUACAACGCGAAAAUCACACAAACUCAUACAUAUACGUAUGUAGUACGUGACAGUUGUUUUUAUUUACGGGCAAAUCUGAAUCACAACUGAUUGUGCUGAAAAGAAAUUUACCUGAACUUGCCGGAACUGGAACAUUUGAUUUUACGCAUACUUUUUGGAAUUGUGAGGGAACAAAUUCUUGCCAACAACACCAACUCAUCAAAAAAAACAAAAAACUCAGCGCUGAGCCCCACAGAUACCAAUUAAUAUAGUCGUUGUUGCAAUGGAAUGCAACCAGGUGGCAAAUGCCAGCACGCACACGCGUCGCACCGUUCAUGGACAAUGGCACCGUGGUGAAUGUGCUAAUAAAAAUUUCAUUGUGUAAUCAAAAUCAAAAUGCCAAAGCUUAACGCUGCUUUAAGCAACCCACAAAAUGUCACAACUGGACAAAGUAAUGUAUACGGUGACGGCUGCCAGGUGCAUUGCAAUGCUUCAAUGAAUAAUGCAAAACUCGCAAUUCUCAUAUUUUUGUUGCAUACUUUUGGGUUGAGUGUAUGUGUGUGUGUGUGGAAAAUAGUGCGUUGGUUUCACUGUGAUACAUGCGGCAUGAAAUAUUUCUGCUGAGAGGAAAAAAAUU